rnacentral:rRNA from 1 species
UACGUAGGGUGCAAGCGUUGUCCGGAAUUAUUGGGCGUAAAGAGCUCGUAGGCGGUUUGUUGCGUCGGCUGUGAAAUCCCGAGGCUCAACCUCGGGUCUGCAGUCGAUACGAGCAAACUAGAGUGUUGCAGGGGAGACUGGAAUUCCUGGUGUAGCGGUGAAAUGCGCAGAUAUCAGGAAGAACACCAAUAACGGCGAAGGCAGUUAACUAUUCUGUUACUGACAUUGAGGCACGAAAGCGUGGGGAGCAAAACGG